GAAUGUGAGGGUGAUCUGGCUGCGACAUCUGUCACCCCAUUGAUCGCCAGGGGUAACUGGGCUGAUCUGGCUGGCUAGGUGGGUGUCCACUUCCUCCCUCAUCGCUCCAUGCGCAUCCCUUCCAAAGCUGCACACUGGGUGAAAGAGGACGACCAUCCCCGAUAGAGGAGGACCGAUCUUGGUUCAAGGGUAUACAAGUAGCUGUGCUCCCCUGCUAGAACCUCCAAACAAGCCCUCAAAAGAAAAUAAACUGUAAACAAAUAUUGAACUCUAGUUAAUAAUAUGCCCACUGAAGUGUUUAGAAGUAUACCAGGCGUCUGCAAUCGACUUUAAAAU
ensembl:misc_RNA 7SK 7SK RNA